rnacentral:rRNA from 1 species
CCUACGGGUGGCAGCAGUGGGGAAUAUUGGGCAAUGGGCGAAAGCCUGACCCAGCAACGCCGCGUGAAGGAAGAAGGCUUUCGGGUUGUAAACUUCUUUUGACAGGGAAGAGCAGACGACGGUACCUGAGGAAUAAGCCACGGCUAACUACGUGCCAGCAGCCGCGGUAAUACGUAGGUGGCAAGCGUUAUCCGGAUUUACUGGGUGUAAAGGGCGUGUAGGCGGGACUGCAAGUCAGAUGUGAAAACCACGGGCUCAACCUGUGGCCUGCAUUUGAAACUGUAGUUCUUGAGUACGGGAGAGGCAGACGGAAUUCCUAGUGUAGCGGUGAAAUGCGUAGAUAUUAGGAGGAACACCAGUGGCGAAGGCGGUCUGCUGGACAGCAACUGACGCUGAGGCGCGAAAGCGUGGGGAGCAAACAGGAUUAGAUACCCGGGUAGUC